CCUACGGGCGGCUGCAGUGGGGAAUUUUGCGCAAUGGGCGCAAGCCUGACGAAGCAACGCCGCGUGGAGGAUGAAGGUCUUCGGAUUGUAAACUCCUGUCGACCGGGACGAAUGCACUCGACCUAAUACGUCGGAAUGUUGACGGUACCGGUGGAGGAAGCCACGGCUAACUCUGUGCCAGCAGCCGCGGUAAUACAGAGGUGGCAAGCGUUGUUCGGAAUUACUGGGCGUAAAGGGCGCGUAGGCGGCCUUGUAAGUCUCGUGUGAAAGCCCUCGGCUUAACUGAGGAUCUGCACGGGAUACUGCGAGGCUUGAGUUCGGGAGAGGAAAGCGGAAUUCCGGGUGUAGCGGUGAAAUGCGUAGAUAUCCGGAGGAACACCAGUGGCGAAGGCGGCUUUCUGGACCGACACUGACGCUGAGGCGCGAAAGCUAGGGGAGCAAACGGGCUUAGAUACCCCUGUAGUC
rnacentral:rRNA from 1 species